rnacentral:rRNA from 1 species
AUGAACGCUGACAGAAUGCUUAACACAUGCAAGUCGAUGGGGAAGUGGUGCUUGCACCAUGGUAACCAUGGCGGACGGGUGAGUAACGCGUAAGGAACUUGCCUGCGGGACUGGGAUAACAGCAGGAAACUGCUGAUAAUACCGGAUAAGGUCAUUAAGCUGCAUAGCUUAGUGAUGAAAGGAGACGCCUGCGGAGAGCCUCGCGUCCUAUUAGCUAGUUGGAGGGGUAACGGCCCACCAAGGCGAAGAUAGGUAGCCGGCCUGAGAGGGUGGACGGCCACAAGGGGACUGAGAUACGGCCCUUACUCCUACGGGAGGCAGCAGUGGGGAAUAUUGGACAAUGGGGGCAACCCUGAUCCAGCAAUUCUGUGUGCACGAAGACGGUUUUCGGAUUGUAAAGUGCUUUCAGCAGGGAAGAAGGAAGUGACGGUACCUGCAGAAGAAGCGACGGCUAAAUACGUG